UUGGCCGGCCAUCCCUCUCUUUUCUUUUCUUUCUUUUCUUUUCUCUCAUACACUCCUCUCUAUCACUUGCUCAUCCUCUCCCACCGAUACCUCCAUACCACCAUCUUCACCAUCAUUUUUCCAGCAAUGUCACUAGAAAAUCCUUAAGAACCUCUAAGCAUCUUCAUAUUUUAUUUGAGAAACAAACACAUACACACACAAAAGGGAGAGGGAAAAGGGUUCUAAUAUAAAGGCAUACCACAACUCCACUCAAAAGCCAUGGUAACUUUUAAGGGAGGGUGGGGUAAAUUAUACUAUACACAACACACUUUCUUAAGCAAUGUAGGACAAUUACUGAUUUUUUUUUUUUUUUUUUG